rnacentral:rRNA from 1 species
AUUGAACGCUGGCGGCAGGCCUAACACAUGCAAGUCGAGCGAGCGGCGGACGGGUGAGUAAUGUCUGGGACACUGCCCGAUGGAGGGGGGUAACUCCUGGAAACGGUAGCGAAUACCGCAUACCAUCUGAUGUGCCCAGAUGGGAUUAGCUAGUGGGUGGGGUAAAGGCUCACCUAGGCGACGAUCACUAGCUGGUUUGAGAGGAUGACCAGCCACACUGGAACGGAGACACGGUCCAGACUCCUACGGGAGGCAGCAGUGGGGAAUAUUGCACAAUGGGCGCAAGCCUGAUGCAGCCAUGCCGCGUGUGUGAAGAAGGCCUUCGGGUUGUAAAGUACUUUCAGCGGGGAGGCGGUACCCGCAGAAUAAGCGCCGGCUAACUCCGUGCCAGCAGCCGCGGUAAUUC